CUUAAGUCAGGAAUCUGAUGUUCAGUAGUUGUCGUUUGUUGAUGUGGUUCAUAAGUGUUUCUCGUUUUUUAUAUAGAUUAGACCGUUGGUUUUCCUGUUUGAAUGGUUUUACACGUCAUUUUGGGGGCACUCUAUAGCUUGCUGUUCGGUGUUAUCCAAGGCUCUGGGUUGAAGACCUUACUUUGACCUAUAAUGGUUUACUUUUACAAAUUGUGACUUGGAUGGAGAGUUGUCUCAUUGGCACUGAUCCCACAUCUUCUUAUAUCUAUGUUUUAUUGUUUACAAAAUUGUUGUCUACUGUGGAUUAUUAUUUGUGGGAUACCAAUUUUCAUAGAUUUCAUGGGUAAAGGUGACCACUAAUUCAAAUGUUCCACAAAGUACUAAUUUUUGUUGAUUUCAUGGAUAUAGGUGACCACUAAUUCAAAUGUUCCACAAAGUACUAAUUUUUGUUGAUUUCAUGGAUAUAGGUGACCACUAAUUCAAAUGUUCCACAAAGUACUAAUUUUCAUGGAUUUCAUGGGUAUAGGUGACCACUAAUUCAAAUGUUCCACAAAGUACUAAUUUUCAUGGAUUUCAUGGGUAUAGGUGACCACUAAUUCAAAUGUUCCACAAAGUACUAAUUUUUGUGGAUUUCAUGGGUAUAGGUGACCACUAAUUCAAAUGUUCCAUAAAGUACUAAUUUUUGUUGAUUUCAUGGG